CGGGUCUGGAGUGGUUUUGGAGUGAAUUGAGACAGAUAGUCUCUCAUGAGAAGGUUUAAGUUGAAAGAGUUGACUGGAUGUUGAUUUAGGUAUAAAUGACCUUGGAUUUGAAUUUUGAUGGUUCUAUUAGCUCCGUUAGGUGAUUUUGGACAUAGGAGCGCGUCCGGAAUGUGAUUUAGUGGUCCGUAAUGGAAUUAGGCUUGAAUUGGCGAAAGUUAAAAUUUGGCAAAUUUGGGCGGUUGUGGAAUUUUUGAUAUCGCGGUCGGAAUGAAAUUUC
rnacentral:lncRNA from 1 species